GGCAAGGUGGCCGAGUGGUUAUGGCGUGUGGUAGGUUUCACAAUCCAACAGAAUUACCAAUUCUGAACAUUCAACUAACAGACUACAAUUAGACUCAAGCGAAAGCUUCACUGGCUCAGACAGUGUGUUCUCAUGGGCUUAGCCCGCAGGGGUUCGAAUCCCCUUCUUGUCA
rnacentral:tRNA from 1 species